GGCGCCUGAAGACGGUGACUUUGAUGGGAGCUGCCUAAGGCGAAACAGGUGACUGGGGCUAAGUCGUAACAAGGUAGCCGUACCGGAAGGUGCGGCUGGAAUACCUCCUUUUAAGAGC
rnacentral:rRNA from 1 species